rnacentral:pre_miRNA from 15 species
AGGACUAAAUCCUUCUUUGGUAUUUAAAAUGUGGAUAUUCCUUCUAUGUUUAUGUUAUUGAUGGUUAAACAUAGAGGAAAUUCCACGUUUUCAGUAUCAAAUGCUGCUGAAUCCACCA